AUGGAGUUAAUUUUUCAUUGUUGACAAACAGUAUAUCAAGAUUCAAAUUUUAGAAAUUGCAUCAUCCUUGAUGACAAAUAGGUUAUCUAAGCUAUCGGUUUCAUCAAUUAUCAGACAUAAAAUGCUUCAAAAGCAUGACGUUCCAUCUGGUUUGGAUUAAAAAUCCUAUCUUGAUCCUUAUUAACACAUAAUUAUUAGAUUAAAUUACCAAUUAACAACAAAACUGGAAGAGUAAGACGCAAAUACCACCAACCAAAUU
rnacentral:lncRNA from 1 species